UAAGGCGCGCGGGAUAACCCUCGCCAAGGAACUCUGCAAGUUAGCCCCGUAACUUCGGGAGAAGGGGUGCUCCUCGGGGUGCCGCGUGCGGUGCCUUUGGGGAGCCGCAGUGAAUAGGCUCUGGCGACUGUUUACCAAAAACACAGCUCUCUGCGAACUCGUAAGAGGAGGUAUAGGGAGCGACGCUUGCCCGGUGCCGGAAGGUCAAGGGGAGGGGUGCAAGCCCUGAACCGAAGCCCCGGUGAACGGCGGCCGUAACUAUAACGGUCCUAAGGUAGCGAAAUUCCUUGUCGGGUAAGUUCCGACCUGCACGAAAAGCGUAACGACCGGAGCGCUGUCUCGGCGAGGGACCCGGUGAAAUUGAACUGGCCGUGAAGAUGCGGCCUACCCGUGGCAGGACGAAAAGACCCCGUGGAGCU
rnacentral:rRNA from 1 species